AUACCUGCCAUGGCUUUUAUUUCUUUGCUUAGCGGUUUGGGUUUGUUUUGUUGGAAGCUUUCCCGUAUGGAGAGCCCCGCAUUGUGCUGACUAGGGAAGACAAGAGUGCUUACAAAAUAAAAAGGAUAUACUUUCGGAAAGAUAAUAGUGAGUGCCGUUAAUAAUCAUUAUAAUUUCCUCGGUUUGGUUUUGUACACUUUUUGUAACAAAAUAUACAUAACAUAAAAUUUACCAUUUUAAUCACUGUUUUUAAGUUUAUUUAUUUGAGAGAGACAGAGAGAGCACGAGUAGGGGAGGGGCAGAGAGAGAGGGAGAGAGCGAGAAUACCAUGCAGGCCCUAUCGUCCGCGUGCAGAGCCCAACGUGGGGGCUCGAACUCACAAAACCGGGAGAUCAUGAUCUAAACCGUGUUCCCCGCAAACACGGAUUCCCUGUUCCUGUGUCCUCCCUCAGCCCCUGGCAACCCUCAUUCUACUUUCUGUCGGUCGGAAUUUGACCCCUCUAGCUACCUCACAGAAGGGGAGCCAACCAAUAUGUGUCCCUUUGUGAUGGGCUUAUUUCACUUAGCGUAACAUCUUCAAGGCUCAGCCACGUUGCUGCUCUUGCAGAGUUUCACUCCUUUUCAAGGCUGAAUAAUACUCCAGCGUAUGUGUCUACCACAUGGCGUUCAUCCGUGUGUCCAUCAGGGGACAUCUGCUUGCUUUCGCUUUGGGCUACUGCAGGUUUUGUGCCAGUCGCACCGUCGCAAGCUCCACAGGUGCGUUCUGGUGUGUAACCUCACUACAAGCGAAUUUGGGAAUAUCGUUCCAUUUUUCAGGUGAGAAAGCAGGCUCUCUUCAAGACCCAUGACCUACAAAGUGGCAGGGAGGAAUGCGAGAGGGGCCUGGCUGACCUCGCUGAGCCGCCCUGCAUUUCCGGCAGCGGAGGCCUAUGGGAAGGCAGGGAGCAGUGCCCAUCUGGCCUUGGGAGGGCUGUGUGUCUCACACAUUCCCUGUGCUCCUCUGUCACACUCCCCCCUUCCUCUUACUUCCUUCCUUUCCCUGGUCUCUCCUUUCUGAUCCUGAGCCAUUAAAUGUCUCCUGCCUGCCAGCCAAGAUCUGAUAAAUUCUUAGCACUUCAGUGAGAACGGCUCCCUUCCCAGGAGGAUUUUCAUUGUCAAAGGCAUAAACUAGAGGAAAAGUGCCCAGAAAGACCCUUUGGAGAGUCGCCCCUGGAGAUACGACUGGGAAGGUGCAAUCUCACCUGGGUGAUAUGACCCAACCACUCCUUUGUUCUUAAUACAAUUCUACAAACUGAGCAUCUACUAUGUGCCAGGCACUGUUCCAAACAUCUUACACAGAUUCACUCACCUAAGCCUCCCAACCACCACUGGGCCCAUUGAGGCAUGGAGAAACUGAGCCUCUGAGAAGUCAGAUCACCAACUCAGACAGACUCCCACCACUGUGAAGUGGUCCAGACACGAUCCCGGCUCAUGGGCACUGGAUCCAAAGCCUGCACUUAGCUGCUGCCUCACACUGCCUACAGUAUUCUCCUACAGGAAUUUAGAGACAGAUAUACAUGCUAGAUACAUGCAUGGAUGGAUGGAUGGAUGGAUGGAUGGAUGGACGGACAGACAAAUAAAGAGUUGGGUGAAGGCAAAGGAGAGGCUUUUGCUCCAUCCCUGACUUUUACUUACUUGUCAAGUAGCUGACCAUCAACAUCAGCCUCCUCCAGCUCUCACCCACCCCUCCCCUGGAAAGGAAGUCUCGGUUGUCUGUUCCUUCGCACCUCUCACCACCACCAAUCCAUUGUGCGCUUUCUCUGGGAAAGAGCCCCGGUGGUGCUGCCCCCUGUGGCCUACACCACCAGGGCAGCCUUCACCUCUGGCUUUCAGAGGACACAGCCAAUGGAAGGACCAGCAAGGGCCAAAGGGUGCCCGAUUGCUGGCAGUUUCCACAUCCUCCUGUGGCCAUGCACCCUGCUCUGUAGCCCGCUUCAAGGCUACAGCCUCUCCAAGUGGAAUCCCUCUGCCUUCCUGGCAUCCUUAGGGCAUGCACGUCCUUCAGCCUUCGCUGGCCUCGAAGCGCCACACCACUGCGUAUUUGUUCCUUCACUCUACCCACACCUCUGUGAUGUUCCCUUCUCUUCAUUUAGAUCUUCCCUGCCAGCUCUGCAGACUCUCUUAAAACGUUCAGAGAACGGAUGGGGAAGAGGGCUGUGUCUGCUGGAUCCUAUAAACACAUGGACAAACACAUACAUAUACAGACACAUACACACACACGUAUGCACACACAGUGCACAUGCCCACGGACAUGUGCACAUGU